UGGGGGCUGGGCAGGGGGCAGAACUAACAGCCGGGCAGGGGACAGGCAGAUGAGGGGGUGGCAGGGACACAGCAUGAAUCAAUCAGGGUUUGGGGGGUUGGGGAGAAGCAGCAGCAGGGAGCGGUUUGUACAGAUCUGUGUAAUUAGAUCUCACUGGGGUCUCCCAGCCAGAGCUUCUGCCACAGGGGCCCAAGUCACCUUCCCCUGUAACUACAGGACAGCUGGUCACCCUGUAAUUGUCACACACGGGUGAGAGGGGGAGAUGGGUGCAGAUUGACAAAAAAACAACAACAUUAUAUAACCUUAAAAAAAUCAUCAUUGUAUCAGUGUCAUGAUUUUUUUUUAAACUCCUGAGGUUGGCAGCACUGGGGGAGGCAGGGACAGGGCGGGUUUAACCAGAGGGAAUUAGAAGAAGGAAGAAUAAAAAUGUAAAUUAAAAUAAAACAAGAAUAAAGAGAGAGUCUAUGAGAAAUGGUGGAAAACAGAAAUGAGAAGAGUGACAGGAACGUAUCCCUGACAGGGGAACCAGCCGGGGGCAGCAAGAGGAGACGGGAUAAAAUCAGGGGAAAGAAGGGAGCAGCCAUGGGGGAUGAUCUGUGACAGGGCGGGGAGGCGAGUGGGAGAAACACAGGAAAAUAAACAGGGAUCAGAAGUGAGGGUUAGAAAAAUGAGUAGAAAAGGACAGUAUGAAAGGAAAGGGAACAGGAGAGGGACAGAGAUUUAUUACAAGUUACUGAAAGUGACACACUGUAACCAGUGGUGAGCUGGAGCUGGUUCGCACGAACCGGUUGUUAAAUUUAGAAGCCGGUUUAGAACUGGUUGUUAAAGGGGUGGGCAAUUGGGAGAGGGAGGUUUUUCUGUCAUUACACUGACCCGCGGGUCCUGUCCAGCCCACCUGAGCUCCCGGCUGGGGAGGCUACCCCGGCCCUUCCCCUGCCUUACCCCUCUCGCAGAGCCUCAGUGUGCCACACCGCCGGUGCCAGCGCUCUGGAUCUCUCUGGGCAACUCUGCAGCUCCUGCCACUUUGAGCGGCAUGGUACGGGUGUGGGGCUGCCAGCUCCAGCGGGCCGCGUGGCAUCCAUACACGCUGCCCUGAGAAACAUGGCGAACGCUGCGAGCCGAGCGCAGGUUUGUCAAUUGGGAACAAAACCACGUUUCUUUUAACACCGUUCUACGGAAAAGCCAUGAGAGAAAACUGCAGCUCUUUGAUCGCCAGAAUUAGAUAAGCAACCGUGAAAAACGGGAACAGCCAAUGAACGUGUAACUGUCCCAGCCAAAGAAGUGAAGUCUGACCACACCCGGAAGAUUUUAAACGUUUCAGACUAUUCAUAACGUUUAAUACAGAAUACUUAUUGCUUGGACAGUUUUUUCUAAACCCAAGGAGUAAAUAAUCUUGUGAUAAUUUGUUUCUCUCUUUCUGGGAACUUUACAGUACAUCUGAAGAAGUGAGGUUUUUACCCAGGAAAGCUUAUGCCCAAAUAAAUGUGUUAGUCUUUAAGGUGCCACCAGACUCCUUGUUGUUUUUAUAGUACAUCUACAUUCAAAGUGAUGUACUGUCAAAUACAUUGCAGAUUGUUUUCAUAACAAUAUAACAGGAGACUUUUACAGCUUGUUGAAUUAGUCAUUUCUUUCUUUUGCUGAAUUUUAUUCAAAAACAAUGUGCCCAAUACUGUUCUUGGGGGAGAUUUGAAACAAAGAACUGCCUAUAUUUUGAAUACAGAAAAUUUACUGCACCAAACCUAGCGGCCAUCAGUCUUGUUUUCGGUCUGUGCUGUCAUUGCAGUUUUCUGCCUCUUGACUGUGGUGGGUGAAUCCUUUUGUUUUUGUAAAAAAUAAAAUUAUGCUCAGAAUCAA